rnacentral:lncRNA from 1 species
UCAGUUACCAUUCGGGGGAAGUUGACUACGAAGGUAUUAGGAAAAUCUAGUGCCAAUUUUGCUCUUUAUUCUCUGGCUAAUGUGUGCAUCAAUUUUUGUGCUGUAAUGGUGCUGGAUCGGUAUAUGGGAAAAACCUUAGAAAUGGUGUUGUAAGUCUGACCCCCAAGUGAAGGUCUGGUGUGUAAUGGAAAAGCCAUGUUCAUCUCAGAGUCCGAAUGCCAUUUGCUAUCUGCCGUGAAGAAUCUGUGGGUGCUUGCUGUUCCUACUGCUGAUAUUAUUCAUUCCAGUUGUACAGGCAUCCACUUUAAGCUCAGAACCAGUUCAUUGAUCUGUGGGGAAGUCACCUAUUUCACUUUUCUUGCAGCAUGAUAUACUGUUCUUCAGUCAUAAUUCUAGUUCAACGACUCAGGCUUUGGAGUGCCUAAUAUCUGCAAAACCAAUCGAGUUUGUUUAGAUCUGUCCAACUCUGGCCUUAAAAAAACAAAAAAAUCUUACUCUAAAACUGAUGCGCUUGUCCUCGAGAAGUAACUUUCUAGUUCUUACUUUACAUGAUCAUGUCGAUCAUUUCACAAGAUGGUGAGAUUAAAGUUAGACAACAAGAAUAACGCAUAUUCCUUUAGAAAAACAGAGGUUAAAGAUGGUUGCUAUGGAGGCACUACUUUACACUUUCCCAUGGAGCACGACUUCUCUGUAAUGAAUCAUGCGGUGAUUCACCUUAAAUCAAAGAAGUCUAGGUCAUCGUCUUUUUGGCGUUUCCUCUCUUUUUUAAUGGUUGAUAAGACUUCAUUCAUUACUCAUUAGGAAAUUCACCGUAGAAGUGUCCCAUGUCUUUACAUAACAAAGAUAAAAGACAAUGGGGAAUGGUAGACAGCUAGUUCAUACGCAAAGACUCGUUCUGGUGGGCUUUCACUAUUCAAUCCGCAGGACGAUUUACUUUUCUCGGACAAAGGAUAACUAAGACACCCUCUAAGCAGUCUAGGAGAUGUGUACAAUCCCUGACUAAAGAUUGGAUGGCCCAUGGAGCUUCGGCCCGGCCCGUGAUAGAGCUUUCCAGAAAAGUACAUCCUGACUCGAUCUGGAUUGGAAUAUUUUGGAAUAUUUCCGUCGUUCAGUACCCACGGUGAGAUUCCCCAAUUGGAGCGACGUGUUUCUCCAUUUCCAGACAAGGAACCGUCCAGCUCCAUUAUAAUUCCAAAAGAAAUUCGAGUUGCAUCAUUGGAGCGUGUACGAAAUGCCUUCUGACCAAGCAACUGAAAUAUGUGCUGCAAAAAAGAGACUGCCCUUUCGACGAAUCUCCAUUACAGUCGUUGGAAAGAGUGGACUUCUUGCCGGGGCAUAAUUUGAUAAAAGAAAGUGAGGGGACGAGAAACGUUAUACCCGAAAACUAGGAGGACCAAAGUGCAAUUCUCCACAAUCUUUAGAAGUGCAAUACGUCUUAUACAAAAACACAUCCGCCUAAAGAGUGUUGCUUUGAACCGUAUUUGCAAUGAUCGGUGGGGGAUCUGCAAAAGGCUUGCGAGCCUAGGGCUGUCGAUUAAUUGGUAAUUAAAUUUAAUUUAAACAAUGGUAGAUUACUCAAAACACGGGUUGGUGAUUAAUUCUAGUUAUAAUGAUGAAGACUUCCAUAGAUGUUGCCACGCAUACACAUGUCGCAUGUGACCAUGAUUAACAAUAGCCCAAGAUUCUCUCUCCUAUGAAGUCGAAAAGGCUAGACAGCAUUUGAAUUGAUCUCUUGAAUCGUGGAUGGCUAAUAUUGGGAUCAAUUACGAUUCCAGAAUUUGUCUAUCCUAGGCCAAAAAAUAAAAAUCCCGCGUUGCAAAUGAGCGGUUAAAAAAUCAGUGGAGUGUCCAUAUAUUAAAAAGCACGUUUUCAUCUUAAAUCACGCUUUUAUCUCAUUUAAAUAUUUUAAUAUUAAGUAUACUUUAUUUUGAAUAAUUCCAUUUUUAAAGGAACUACUUGUACAUGACACGAUGGUAAUUAGUGCAUUUAAAAUCGUGUCGUUUUUCUAAUCAAUUGCUUAACAAGUGUCCCUUAAAAUGCUUUCAGUUAAAAUUUUGAAAUCAGCUCUUAUGUAAGUAAGGACGAGACAUCUAAGUCAUACCACUACGGGACAUUCCUACGUUAUUAAAUAGGGUUUGUUGAAAAGAAAGAAUCUUUUUUUUUUCAUUUCAAUUUUCGAAAGCCAACUUUCCAUCGAAUUGUUAUUGGAUGGCGAGGACUUAGAGACUCUCCUGAGUCUCUAUAGAAAGUAUCUUCAGCCCUUUCCACAACCACUAAUUCGAUUUUCCGUGGGGCUAUCCAAUCUAAUUCAAGACCCGGUAAUUAAACACUACAUUAGUAGUGGAAGGGAAUCAAUAAAUCUUUAUAUGAGAGCCCUUCCACCAUUCAUCUGUCCUUGAAUCCUAGAGGCAAGGAUUUAGAGCACUUUAGCUUUCGAGAGCCAAACUUCCAGAUGUUUCGAACCAAGCAAGUAAGUUUCAAGAGUCCUUUUACUUUGUUU